GGGCUUAUUGGUCUAACGGAAAGGCGCCGGGUGUCACCACCCGGAGAUCGCGGGUUCAACUCCCGAUAAGUCCA
rnacentral:tRNA from 1 species